UACGGAGGGUGCGAGCGUUGUUCGGAAUCACUGGGCGUAAAGCGCACGUAGGCGGCUUUGUAAGUUAGAGGUGAAAGCCCAGGGCUUAACCCUGGAAUUGCCUUUAAGACUGCAUCGCUAGAAUCGUGGAGAGGUGAGUGGAAUUCCGAGUGUAGAGGUGAAAUUCGUAGAUAUUCGGAAGAACACCAGUGGCGAAGGCGACUCACUGGACACGUAUUGACGCUGAGGUGCGAAAGCGUGGGGAGCAAACAGG
rnacentral:rRNA from 1 species